rnacentral:rRNA from 1 species
CCAAUAGCGUAUAUUAAAGUUGCUGCAGUUAAAAAGCUCGUAGUUGAAUUUCGGGACCAAUAUGUCGGUCGUGCCUCGGUACGUACUGGCAUCGUUGGUUUCUCCCUUCUGAAGAACCAUGAUGUCAUUCAUUUGGUGUCGUGGGGAAUCAGGACUGUUACUUUGAAAAAAUUAGAGUGUUUAAAGCAGGCUCACGCUUGAAUACAUUAGCAUGGAAUAA